GGACUCCUUCGGGAGGAAACCGGUGGAACGAGCGGCGGACGGGUGAGUAACACGUGGGCAACCUGCCGGACUGAUGGGAAUAACCCCGGGAAACCGGGGCUAAUGCCCAAUACGCCCUGACCUCGCCUGAGGUCAGCGGUAAAGCAGGGAUCUUCGGAUCCUUGCACAGUCCGAUGGGCCCGCGGCGCAUUAGCUAGUUGGAGAGGUAAGGGCUCCCCAAGGCGACGAUGCGUAGCCGACCUGAGAGGGUGAUCGGCCACACUGGGACUGAGACACGGCCCAGACUCCUACGGGAGGCAGCAGUAGGGAAUCAUCCGCAAUGGGCGAAAGCCUGACGGUGCAACGCCGCGUGAGUGAUGAAGGUUUUCGGAUCGUAAAGCUCUGUUGACAGGGAAGAACCCACGCCAGUCGAACAGGCUGGCGUGCUGACGGUACCUGUCCAGAAAGCCCCGGCUAACUACGUGCCAGCAGCCGCGGUAAUACGUAGGGGGCAAGCGUUGUCCGGAAUUAUUGGGCGUAAAGGGCACGCAGGCGGUUUCGUCAGUCCGAUGUGACAGGCCACGGCUCAACCGUGGAAGGCCAUUGGAAACUGCGAAACUUGAGGACAGAAGAGGAGAGUGGAAUUCCACGUGUAGCGGUGAAAUGCGUAGAUAUGUGGAGGAACACCAGUGGCGAAGGCGACUCUCUGGUCUGUACCUGACGCUGAGGUGCGAAAGCAUGGGGAGCAAACAGGAUUAGAUACCCUGGUAGUCCAUGCCGUAAACGCUGAGUGCUAGGUGUUAGGGGUUUCGAUACCCGUAGUGCCGAAGCUAACGCAUUAAGCACUCCGCCUGGGGAGUACGACCGCAAGGUUGAAACUCAAAGGAAUUGACGGGGGCCCGCACAANCGGUGGAGCAUGUGGUUUAAUUCGACGCAACGCGAAGAACCUUACCANAUCUUGACAUCUUCCGCUACGCCUCGANAGAGGCGGUUCCCCUUCGGGGGACGGAAUGACAGGUG
rnacentral:rRNA from 1 species